UACGGAGGGUGCAAGCAUUAAUCGGAUUUAUUGGGCGUAAAGGGCGCGUAGGCGGAAAUGUAAGUCAGAUGUGAAAUCCCGGGGCUCAACCCCGGAACAGCAUUUGAAACUGUGUUUCUAGAGGAUAGGAGGAGAAGAUGGAAUUCCACAAGUAGCGGUAAAAUGCGUAGAUAUGUGGAAGAACACCAGUGGCGAAGGCGGUUUUCUAUCUUAUACCUGACGCUGAGGCGCGAAAGCAAGGGGAUCAAACAGG
rnacentral:rRNA from 1 species